rnacentral:rRNA from 1 species
UACGUAGGGGGCAAGCGUUGUCCGGAAUACUGGCGUAAAGCGUGCGCAGGCGGUUGUGUAAGACAGAUGUGAAAUCCCCGGGCUCAACCUGGGAACUGCAUUUGUGACUGCACAGCUGGAGUGCGGCAGAGGGGAUGGAAUUCCGCGUGUAGCAGGUGAAAUGCGUAGAUAUGCGGAGGAACACCGAUGGCGAAGGCAAUCCCCUGGGCCUGCACUGACGCUCAUGCACGAAAGCGUGGGGAGCAACAGG